rnacentral:rRNA from 1 species
GAUGAACGCUGGCGGCGUGCUUAACACAUGCAAGUCGAACGAAGCACUUUAUUUGAUUUCCUUCGGGACUGAUUAUUUUGUGACUGAGUGGCGGACGGGUGAGUAACGCGUGGGUAACCUGCCUUGUACAGGGGGAUAACAGUUGGAAACGGCUGCUAAUACCGCAUAAGCGCACGGCAUCGCAUGAUACAGUGUGAAAAACUCCGGUGGUAUAAGAUGGACCCGCGUUGGAUUAGCUAGUUGGUGAGGUAACGGCCCACCAAGGCGACGAUCCAUAGCCGACCUGAGAGGGUGACCGGCCACAUUGGGACUGAGACACGGCCCAAACUCCUACGGGAGGCAGCAGUGGGGAAUAUUGCACAAUGGGCGAAAGCCUGAUGCAGCGACGCCGCGUGAGCGAAGAAGUAUUUCGGUAUGUAAAGCUCUAUCAGCAGGGAAGAUAAUGACGGUACCUGACUAAGAAGCACCGGCUAAAUACGUG